GACGAACCGUCCAAACGUUGUUCGGAAUCACUGGGCUUAAAGGGCGCGUAGGCGGGUGACCAAGUCCGGGGUGAAAUCUUUCGGCUCAACCGGAAAACUGCCUUGGAUACUGGUCAUCUCGGGGGAGGUAGGGGUCUGUGGAACUGAUGGUGGAGCGGUGAAAUGCGUUGAUAUCAUCAGGAACGCCGGUGGCGAAAGCGACGGACUGGACCUUCACUGACGCUGAGGCGCGAAAGCCAGGGGAGCAAACGGG
rnacentral:rRNA from 1 species